GGUUAAGCGACUAAGCGUACACGGUGGAUGCCCUGGCAGUCAGAGGCGAUGAAGGACGUGCUAAUCUGCGAUAAGCGUCGGUAAGGUGAUAUGAACCGUUAUAACCGGCGAUUUCCGAAUGGGGAAACCCAGUGUGAUUCGUCACACUAUCAUUAACUGAAUCCAUAGGUUAAUGAGGCGAACCGGGGGAACUGAAACAUCUAAGUACCCCGAGGAAAAGAAAUCAACCGAGAUUCCCCCAGUAGCGGCGAGCGAACGGGGAGCAGCCCAGAGCCUGAAUCAGUAUGUGUGUUAGUGGAAGCGUCUGGAAAGGCGCGCGAUACAGGGUGACAGCCCCGUACACAAAAAUGCACAUGCUGUGAGCUCGAUGAGUAGGGCGGGACACGUGGUAUCCUGUCUGAAUAUGGGGGGACCAUCCUCCAAGGCUAAAUACUCCUGACUGACCGAUAGUGAACCAGUACCGUGAGGGAAAGGCGAAAAGAACCCCGGCGAGGGGAGUGAAAAAGAACCUGAAACCGUGUACGUACAAGCAGUGGGAGCACGCUUAGGCGUGUGACUGCGUACCUUUUGUAUAAUGGGUCAGCGACUUAUAUUCUGUAGCAAGGUUAACCGAAUAGGGGAGCCGAAGGGAAACCGAGUCUUAACUGGGCGUUAAGUUGCAGGGUAUAGACCCGAAACCCGGUGAUCUAGCCAUGGGCAGGUUGAAGGUUGGGUAACACUAACUGGAGGACCGAACCGACUAAUGUUGAAAAAUUAGCGGAUGACUUGUGGCUGGGGGUGAAAGGCCAAUCAAACCGGGAGAUAGCUGGUUCUCCCCGAAAGCUAUUUAGGUAGCGCCUCGUGAAUUCAUCUCCGGGGGUAGAGCACUGUUUCGGCAAGGGGGUCAUCCCGACUUACCAACCCGAUGCAAACUGCGAAUACCGGAGAAUGUUAUCACGGGAGACACACGGCGGGUGCUAACGUCCGUCGUGAAGAGGGAAACAACCCAGACCGCCAGCUAAGGUCCCAAAGUCAUGGUUAAGUGGGAAACGAUGUGGGAAGGCCCAGACAGCCAGGAUGUUGGCUUAGAAGCAGCCAUCAUUUAAAGAAAGCGUAAUAGCUCACUGGUCGAGUCGGCCUGCGCGGAAGAUGUAACGGGGCUAAACCAUGCACCGAAGCUGCGGCAGCGACGCUUAUGCGUUGUUGGGUAGGGGAGCGUUCUGUAAGCCUGCGAAGGUGUGCUGUGAGGCAUGCUGGAGGUAUCAGAAGUGCGAAUGCUGACAUAAGUAACGAUAAAGCGGGUGAAAAGCCCGCUCGCCGGAAGACCAAGGGUUCCUGUCCAACGUUAAUCGGGGCAGGGUGAGUCGACCCCUAAGGCGAGGCCGAAAGGCGUAGUCGAUGGGAAACAGGUUAAUAUUCCUGUACUUGGUGUUACUGCGAAGGGGGGACGGAGAAGGCUAUGUUGGCCGGGCGACGGUUGUCCCGGUUUAAGCGUGUAGGCUGGUUUUCCAGGCAAAUCCGGAAAAUCAAGGCUGAGGCGUGAUGACGAGGCACUACGGUGCUGAAGCAACAAAUGCCCUGCUUCCAGGAAAAGCCUCUAAGCAUCAGGUAACAUCAAAUCGUACCCCAAACCGACACAGGUGGUCAGGUAGAGAAUACCAAGGCGCUUGAGAGAACUCGGGUGAAGGAACUAGGCAAAAUGGUGCCGUAACUUCGGGAGAAGGCACGCUGAUAUGUAGGUGAAGUCCCUCGCGGAUGGAGCUGAAAUCAGUCGAAGAUACCAGCUGGCUGCAACUGUUUAUUAAAAACACAGCACUGUGCAAACACGAAAGUGGACGUAUACGGUGUGACGCCUGCCCGGUGCCGGAAGGUUAAUUGAUGGGGU
rnacentral:rRNA from 1 species